GAAGGCUGAAGAAGGACGCCACAGUUGAAUCGAUUUGAAACAGUAAGUAGCUUUCUAUCUUAAAAUGCGUUUCUGCUAUGAAUUGUUAUCUGAACAUUUUCUAACCCGACAGAUGCAUUCCUUCAUAUUGGUAAUGUCGUAUCAGUUAACAGCUCUUUGCUAUUAUUAGGGCAACACAGGUCUAAUGCACAAGGAAGCGUGAUAUGCAAUCUAAUUAAAGUUAGAAUACAGGUACAUACAUGAAUUAAAAAUAAAUGAAUAAAAUUCACCAUAUAUAUUAAACUAAAUUAAAAUCCCAAGUUUAAAAUGUUUAUAUUCUAAUUGCCUGAAUUCUAAUUUGCAUAGGAGCCCUAACUCGAUUUCUUCAAAAUGAGACUGAACUUCUGUGCAAUCUGCUACUUUUAAAAUAUGAAAGUAAGAAUGCUCCUGCUGUUUACACAGAUGAUUCCAACCAUGGUAGAUGCUGAGAAUACAAGCUCCCAUGAGGAGAACAUUGCUGGUAAGAGUAUGGACAGAAGAAAAUACAGCAUCCAAAGUUGAUGACCUGUGCAUCUAUUCUGUGCAAUGAGGUGUAGCGCAAGUAAGUGCUUGCUGCAGCUGACACAUUCACGCUUCUCACCAUGAUAAUGGUAGUAGCUGACUGUAGUUCAGGCUGUUGCACUAGACAGCUAGCACCAGCUACCACAAGUAGCCUCAACACUGCAACGAUGCAACUGCAAGUGUUUCUGAGGUAGUGCUUCCUUUAGUAGCUUAUGCAUCACAGGAGUUUACUUCACUGAACAGUGCAGACAAGCCCAAUAUAGUUAAACCCCUCAAAAUCUUAUUUUUAUCAUGUGUAGAACAUAGCAAUAUCCUUUUCCCUUCCCUCACCACUACUCCUUUGGAAUGUAAUCUAAAACCUCCUGAAGAUUAUCCAAUUAACAUUCUUUUGUGUACAGUCAACAUUUACUAUAACUAUAUACCCAGCCUCAUGGUAAACUCUUACUAUAACCACAAAGAAAUAAUCCUACCUUUUAGACUCUCUGUCAUAUUCUUCCCCAAUCCAUAUAAAUGACUGAGCAGCAAGUAGAGCUGAAAUAUCAAGUUCUUGAACAUCGUGUGUAGAUGCCAAAACAAUUUCAUUGCUGUUUGCCUAUGCAGAACAAAUAAAAAACUUAUACUAACUUUAAUUAAUAUUUAUUGCACAUCCUAGUAAUAUUUAAGGCUUACUUUAUUAACUGCAAAUGCCAUUAUCAUAUCUGAUUCUUUGUGAAUGAUUUUUGCUUUUCCUCCAGGGUAGCCAAGAUCUGCUUCGACCUACAAAACAUUUAUGAGAAAUUUUACUUAGAGUGAAAAUCCAUUUUGUAGUGGUACAUUCAGACUGCAAAAGUCGAUACAAAAUUCAUGCAAGAAAAGUUCAGUGGCCUCAGCAUUGUUUAGGAAGCAAACUUUAGAAUUAUCAUAUGCUUUGGUGAUCUAAAAGUCAGAAGUUAUGUCUGAGUGUAAGAAACACAAAGUUGUGUGCGCAACACUGUUUACAAGGUGUUCACUCAUCCCAAUUAUAGGACAUCCAAAGUUAAUUCAUUCACUGAUUAAAAGCCUGCCACACAAACUACACAGAACACAUAGCUUCUGUUAGUCACAUUAGAGAAAGAAAAGCCAGUUCCACAGAACUUUUAAGAAUGUGCUGGAGGUUUGGGAGAAGGGAUACUACCUUGUUUUUGUGAUCUUCUGCUACGCAGUUUUGUUUGACCUGCUCCACACGAUCUUCUACAGACUACAUAACAUCACACAGUCACAAACACAAAACACAUGCACAAACAAAUAUAAAAAAGAAUGAAACAUUCCAAACUAGAUUUUAAAGGCCACUCUGUAAGCAAAUGAUGACAAAUGUAUUAUUAACUUCUUAUAAAAGGCACAGGAACUAUGACAGCAAUCUAAACAAACUCACUUAAAAUGUAAUGCCUCCUAGAUGAACACAAAAUGUAUGAUAUAG